rnacentral:sRNA from 1 species
AAUUAGCCCUGAUGGAAGCGGCAUCCUUUUUUAUUGUUUUUGUAGAAACGCACUUCGACUGCUCUCAGCGUGACAAAAACAAUAAAAAAGAUUGCUCCGCCAGUUCGCUGC